GUGAGGCGUUGAGCUAACCAAUACUAAUUGCCCGUGAGGCUUGACCAUAUAACACCCAAGCAAUU
rnacentral:rRNA from 5 species